UUGAUUUUUCUUCUUUUUUUCAACACUUUUUCUUCAGUAUCAUUGAUUGUUUGAUUUUCAUCACUUCUUGGAGGAGUGCGAGAGGGUGGAUGGGCCAAGGAAGAUGCUGCUAGAAAAGAACAAUCAGAAC
rnacentral:ribozyme from 14 species